rnacentral:rRNA from 1 species
GGGAUGAGCUUGCGUCCGAUUAGCUAGUUGGCGGGGCAACGGCCCACCAAGGCGACGAUCGGUAGCCGGCCUGAGAGGGCGAUCGGCCACAUUGGGACUGAGAUACGGCCCAGACUCCUACGGGAGGCAGCAGUAGGGAAUAUUGCACAAUGGGGGGAACCUGAUGCAGCAACGCCACGUGUGGGAAGAAGCAUUUCGGUGUGUAAACCACUGUCGUGAGGGAAUAAUGCUUGGUCUCGGCCAAGUUGAAUGUACCUCGAAAGGAAGCACCGGCAAACUUCGUGCCAGCAGCCGCGGUAAUACGAGGGGUGCAAGCGUUGUUCGGAAUCACUGGGCGUAAAGGGAGCGUAGGCGGAGACGCAAGCAGUCUGUACAAUACCGGGGCCCAACCCCGGACCUGCAGACUGGACUGUGUCUCUUGGAUAGUUCAGGGGCAGGCGGAAUUCCUGGUGUAGCGGUGGAAUGCGUAGAGAUCAGGAAGAACACCGAUGGCGAAGGCAGCCUGCUGGGGACUCAUCGACGCUGAGGCUCGAAAGUGCGGGUAGCAAACAGGAUUAGAUACCCUGGUAGUCC